UACGGGGGGGGGCGAGUGUUAUUCAUAGUGAUUGGGCGUAAAGGGUACGUAGGCGGCUUUUGAACAAGCUUCUCUAGAAAGUCCAUGGCGCAACUGUGGUAGUGGGAAGGACUGUCGAGCUACGAAUUUAGCAGAGGUUGGCGGUACUUUUAGAGUAAAAGUAACAAUUGUUGAUACUAAGGGGACCCUCAAUGGCGAAGGCAGCUAACCAGGUUAGAUUGUACGCUAAGGUACGGAGGCGUGGGGAUCGAACGGG
rnacentral:rRNA from 1 species